CGGCCUCACUCUUUUCCCCUGAAAACCCUACCACAUGUCUUCACUCUUCAAUUGCAGCAGAUGAAGCGUCUGGACUUCCAGCAGUUUCCAUCGUCCCCUCAGCUCUAUAAUAACUAUACAGACUAUAGAGAAAAAUAGAGACUUGGAGAGACAAUAGCCCGGUUUGUUUGCAUAAGUCCUCCUGAGAUGACGCCGGGUCAGUGAUGAUGGUGUUCGAAUGAUGGCGGUGGUAGGUUGUGGACAAAGCGAAGCCGACGAUGGCUUUAGGGUUCCGUCGCAAGUCAGUCAAGGGGAUAUUAGGAUCCGGGCAGAGCCAUACCUAGGGUUCCGAUUGACAAUUCCAGGGGUGUAAUCGGUGUGUAAUAGGUGUUUAAAAGGACGGAUUGAAACAACCCCUCUUCAUCUCGCCAAAAACCUAAUCGAUUCGUCAACCACCACAUCUGCAGAUGUAUGAUCUUUGCCACUUAUACAAGUUAUGGACGAGAAAAUGGACGCAUCAGUGUUUUGUUUUAGCGUUUGGUGCCUAGCUGUUGCUGCUGCUAUAUGCUGUUAUUACUGUUAAGAGGUGGCAAGCUAAUGCGGUUUGUUUUCGAGCCUAUUGGAUUAUGUUGAACAAAGGUUGGGGUCAUCUGUACAGGAGAUCAACUUCAAAUUGGCGUAUAUCUACAUUAUAGAGUGCUCUUUUGCUCUGUAUGAAAGGAGAGAUGUUACUGGAUCUUGGUAUGGUGUUCGCUUUCAAGACUCCACAUGUUAUCCUAAACCUGGUUCUGUGAGAAUAAUUAAAGCUGAAGCUUUAACUUUGGAGUCGAACUACAGCAGUGAAAACACACUGGAGUUAUGGGGCUGUUCUAUAUUCUUGUUGCAGACGCUUCUUUGAAUUUGAAUAAACAGGUUCAAAUUAAUGAAGAACCAAAAGUACUGAUCUUCUUUUGGGGUUUUGCUGUGUUUGGAUUGGCAGUUUGUGCUGCGGUUUUGGUUACUUAUCGAAGAAGAAACUAACAUGAGGAUGGGUAUCUGUCUAUUGCAACUUGAACAGCGUUUUCAUAUGAUUCGAGAGUCUGCGGAUGCUACGUGCAGAAUCUUGUUGGAUUUUAAAUGACCUGACCGGAUCUGAAAGUUCUAAAAUAGAAACAAAGUGGAAUGAGGAGAAGAGGUUGUGAUUAUUGGUUUCAAUCGCAAAUACCAUAUCUAGAGUCGAUUGAUUGGUUACCUGGUCGCUAUGAAGAAUUGCCCUUGCCCAAAAGUGGGAGGUUUCGAGUGAAUUUUGUGAACCAUUUUGGGGUGUUGAGGUGAGGUUGGUAAGAAAUAAGGACACUAGCAUUCAGAAGUAAAGAUGAUGUUGAAUAGGCCAUUGAAGAGCUACAUGACAAAGAAUUUAAGUGAAAUUAGGGUAAGUUGAUAUAGAAACAAGAACUUUAAGAACAUGAGUAAUCAUCCGGCAACAGCGGUUGUCAAUGCGAAUUUUAUCUAUCAAGACAAGGAUCCAUAUACUCAUUGACCUUUGAUGAGCUGCAAAACACCAUGGGUAGUAGUAAUUGUAAAGAUUAUGGGUCCAUGAAAAUGGAUGAAUUGUUAAAAAGGAUUUGGAAUGCUGAAGAAAUUCAAACAAACAACACCGCCAACAGUGUACAAGAAGGCAUCAUGUAGUCAGCUAGGGCUGUGUAACGAUGUCCGGUUUGAAAGAGGUGUGCCCCUUCUUGUCAGAGUAGAGUUAUGCAACCGUGAAAAUUUUGAGUUAUCUGUUUAACAAGGAGUGGGCCACCCAAAGAAGCAACAAGGCUUUUGAAUCUGUUGAAAAUGUUUUUUUUUUAAUUAAAAGGACACCAUUUAUAGGGCUAGGCAAAAAUAACCUUUAAAACUGGUGGUUAUGUUGGUGGUGGCAACUGGAAAUCUAAACAUGGGACUACACAUUAUGGACAUAAUUUAGUGUUACAUGGCUCAAUGUACGUCGUUUGAAACCUGUAAAAAUA
rnacentral:lncRNA from 1 species